ACGAUGAAGCCCAGCUUGCUGGGUGGAUUAGUGGCGAACGGGUGAGUAACACGUGAGUAACCUGCCCCCGACUCUGGGAUAAGCCCGGGAAACUGGGUCUAAUACCGGAUAUGACCUCGCACCGCAUGGUGCGGGGUGGAAAGAUUUAUCGGUGGGGGAUGGACUCGCGGCCUAUCAGCUUGUUGGUGAGGUAAUGGCUCACCAAGGCGACGACGGGUAGCCGGCCUGAGAGGGUGACCGGCCACACUGGGACUGAGACACGGCCCAGACUCCUACGGGAGGCAGCAGUGGGGAAUAUUGCACAAUGGGCGCAAGCCUGAUGCAGCGACGCCGCGUGAGGGAUGACGGCCUUCGGGUUGUAAACCUCUUUCAGUAGGGAAGAAGCGAAAGUGACGGUACCUGCAGAAGAAGCGCCGGCUAACUACGUGCCAGCAGCCGCGGUAAUACGUAGGGCGCAAGCGUUAUCCGGAUUUAUUGGGCGUAAAGAGCUCGUAGGCGGUUUGUCGCGUCUGCCGUGAAAGUCCGAGGCUCAACCUCGGAUCUGCGGUGGGUACGGGCAGACUAAAGUGAUGUAGGGGAGACUGGAAUUCCUGGUGUAGCGGUGAAAUGCGCAGAUAUCAGGAGGAACACCGAUGGCGAAGGCAGGUCUCUGGGCAUUUACUGACGCUGAGGAGCGAAAGCAUGGGGAGCGAACAGGAUUAGAUACCCUGGUAGUCCAUGCCGUAUACGUUGGGCACUAGGUGUGGGGGACAUUCCACGUUGUCCGCGCCGUAGCUAACGCAUUAAGUGCCCCGCCUGUGGAGUACUGCCGCAAGGCUAACACUCUCAGGAAUUGACGGGGGGCUCGCACAAUCGGCGGAGCAUACGGAUUAUUUCCACGCACACCUUAGAACCUUACCACGGCUUGACGU
rnacentral:rRNA from 1 species